AUCACAUCGCUUCCUAAAGAAGAUAGAACAAAAGACCACUUGAGCACUUCUCCUACCAUUUUCUACACUUCUAAAUGACACCAGCUUUUACAGAUGACAGAUCUCCUUUCAAUUGCAAAACUAUGGAGUUUACACAAUGAAUUAUAUGGCCUCACUUUUAUCAGAUGAAGCUUCAAGAUCAAGUCUCUCUACACCAAAAUCAGCUUUCAGUUUCCAUGGAACCAACUGAUAGAUGCCCCUACCUGAGGCCUGGU